rnacentral:rRNA from 1 species
AUUGAACGCUGGCGGCAGGCCUAACACAUGCAAGUCGAGCGGAGAGGCGGACGGGAGAGUAAUGCAUAGGAAUCUGCCUGGUAGUGGGGGAUAACGUCCGGAAACGGGGGCUAAUACCGCAUACUAUCAAAUGAGCAUAGGUCGGAUUAGCUAGUUGGUGGGGUAAAGGCCUACAAAGGCGACGAUCCGUAACCGGUCUGAGAGGAUGAUCAGUCAAACUGGAACUGAGAACCGGUCCAGACUCCUACGGGAGGCAGAAGUGGGGAAUAUUGGCCAAUGGGCGAAAGCCUGAUCCAGCCAUGCCGCGUGUGUGAAGAAGGUCUUCGGAUUGUAAAGCACUUUAAGUUGGGAGGCGUUACCAACAGAAUAAGCACCGGCUAACUUCGUGCCAGCAGCCGCGGUAAUAC